AUUGAACGCUGGCGGCAUGCUUUACACAUGCAAGUCGAACGGCAGCGGGGGUGCUCGCACCUGCCGGCGAGUGGCGAACGGGUGAGUAAUGCAUCGGAACGUGUCCUUAAGUGGGGAAUAACGCAUCGAAAGAUGUGCUAAUACCGCGUAGUCUCUGAGGAGUAAAGCAGGGGAUCGAAAGACCUUGCGCUUAAGGAGCGGCCGAUGUCUGAUUAGCUAGUUGGUAGGGUAAAGGCCCACCAAGGCGACGAUCAGUAGUUGGUCUGAGAGGACGACCAACCACACUGGGACUGAGACACGGCCCAGACUCCUACGGGAGGCAGCAGUGGGGAAUUUUGGACAAUGGGCGCAAGCCUGAUCCAGCCAUGCCGCGUGAGUGAAGAAGGCCUUCGGGUUGUAAAGCUCUUUCAGUUGGGAAGAAACGAUUGCAACUAAUAAUUGUAAUUAAUGACGGUACCGACAGAAGAAGCACCGGCUAACUACGUGCCAGCAGCCGCGGUAAUACGUAGGGUGCGAGCGUUAAUCGGAAUUACUGGGCGUAAAGGGUGCGCAGGCGGUUUUGUAAGUCAGAUGUGAAAUCCCCGGGCUUAACCUGGGAAUGGCGUUUGAAACUACAAGGCUAGAGUGUGUCAGAGGGGGGUGGAAUUCCACGUGUAGCAGUGAAAUGCGUAGAGAUGUGGAGGAACACCAAUGGCGAAGGCAGCCCCCUGGGAUAACACUGACGCUCAUGUACGAAAGCGUGGGUAGCAAACAGGAUUAGAUACCCUGGUAGUCCACGCCCUAAACGAUGUCAACUGGUUGUUGGGGGAGUGAAAUCCCUUAGUAACGAAGCUAACGCGUGAAGUUGACCGCCUGGGGAGUACGGUCGCAAGAUUAAAACUCAAAGGAAUUGACGGGGACCCGCACAAGCGGUGGAUGAUGUGGUUUAAUUCGAUGCAACGCGAAGAAUCUUACCUGGCCUUGACAUGUCCGGAAUCCUGCAGAGAUGCGGGAGUGCCUUCGGGAAUCGGAACACAGGUGCUGCAUGGCUGUCGUCAGCUCGUGUCGUGAGAUGUUGGGUUAAGUCCCGCAACGAGCGCAACCCUUGUCCUUAGUUGCCAGCGAGUAAUGUCG
rnacentral:rRNA from 1 species